rnacentral:rRNA from 1 species
CCUACGGGAGGCAGCAGUGAGGAAUAUUGGUCAAUGGACGAGAGUCUGAACCAGCCAAGUAGCGUGAAGGAUGACUGCCCUAUGGGUUGUAAACUUCUUUUAUAUGGGAAUAAAAUGUUCCACGUGUGGGAUUUUGUAUGUACCAUAUGAAUAAGGAUCGGCUAACUCCGUGCCAGCAGCCGCGGUAAUACGGAGGAUCCGAGCGUUAUCCGGAUUUAUUGGGUUUAAAGGGAGCGUAGGUGGAUUGUUAAGUCAGUUGUGAAAGUUUGCGGCUCAACCGUAAAAUUGCAGUUGAAACUGGCAGUCUUGAGGACAGUAGAGGUGGGCGGAAUGCGUGGUGUAGCGGUGAAAUGCUUAGAUAUCACGAAGAACUCCGAUUGCGAAGGCAGUUCACUGGACUGCAACUGACACUGAGGCUCGAAAGUGUGGGUAUCAAACAGGAUUAGAUACCCCUGUAGUC